rnacentral:lncRNA from 1 species
UAAGAGAAACCCAGAGCGCUGGGCUAUUGCUUUCCUUUCCUGGAGACAUUCUUGGGAGUUUGCACGUUGAAUGAUAUUUUGUGGCCAAUGUACUGACAUUUUCAGAGUGAGUACAUAACUGCCUGGUGGAAUGACCAAUACUUGUAAACAAAGGGACGGGGGUCGUGGAGGGUCCCUGGUCACUCUAGCCUCACAUUCAACUCUAUGGAGUUAUGCCUUUGGGUGUUUCAAUCAAAAAUCCUAGGUUCCAUGGUAUCAGAAAAUGGCUGCCAGAAGGAUUCCAAUCCUUCCCUGGAUUUUACUUUCAACUGGAGGGACAGACCCAUUUCAUGGCGCCCACCUCUCUCGCUUUCCCCCCUGCCAACAGGAGAAGGCUUUUGUCUUUGCCAAUUUUGCCCUGCAUCUAACCCAAGUCCCGCUUCACUCCUGCCAGUUCUGAGAUCCGGGGGCCCAUAGCAUCAUUUCACAUGACAGCCACCACUUGCCAAAUCUUCAGUUUUGAACCUAGUGGAGUGGCAGAGGGGUUCUGGAAAAGUUCCUGCUAGGAAAAGGCCUGUCCUCCUACCCAGCCUCUGAGUCUCCGCGCUUAAUAACACAAGCAAGGCUGGAGAAGAGCCCUUGGGACCUAGGCCCAAGGAGGCCUGGCAAAAGCCAACCACCCUGGGACUCGGUGGAAAGGGGCUGGGGUACAAGAGCUCUCUUGUCCGAGGUCUCUGGAGGACAGAGCACAGGUGUCUAGUCAGGAGUGGAAGAUCCUUCCAUCCACCGAACCCCCGCCACAAGGGCCACUCCACAGGAAACCCAUUCGCGGUUUGGGUCCUUUUGUGUUUGAACAUGUUCGUAGACUCCGCGAACUCCAUGCUAAUUAUAAAGACCUAUGUUGGACUCGCUCUGAGCAGAAAGCUCAGACCCAGCGUGGGUUCCUGAGUUCUUGCCCAAAAGGCCAAGGCCCAAAGAACCUUUUUCAUUUGGCGAAGGGCUAGAGGGAAAGGGAGGGGCGAGGGCGGGAGCGGGCCGGGGUCUGCAAAGCAGCGGCCGACGCGGCUGACUUGCCCCGCUCCUCCGCUUGGUUGCCAGCGUCAGUGCCGGCGGCGCGGUAGCCCUCUCCCGGCCAGAGAGUGGGGACGCCCCUUCCCCGCCCCCCGGCGCCCCCGGGGUCGGCGCCAGAGCCCCGGAGACCCUGAGGCUCUGACUUGAGACGGCGAGGCGGGCUUUGGGGCCUCCCCAGCCAGGCCGAGUUUAGUCUGCGGAGGCGACGGCGGGAGGCGCGGGCCAAGGCCAAGGAGCAAGGGACCCCAAACCCGACAGGCUCUUUCCUUUCCUCCCUCCCCACGCCCCAGUCGUUCUUCAAUCCCUGCCCAAAUUGCCCGUCUUCAUAGGACUAACUGCCCGGCCUCACUCCGCUGCCAACCUUGCCCGAAAUCUAGAGCCCAGAGCCGGUAAGUCGAGCUCUUCCCUCACCCCGCCCCGCCACCUUCCCGGCGGACUCGGCCAGCGGCUGCGUGCGCGCGCGUGGCCCGAGGAGCGCGCCGAGAACCUGGGCUAGUGUGGAGCAGCCCGGCCAGUCCGGCCUCUGCGGCUGGGGCGUGUGAACGCCGAGCACCCCAAGGUGGUCAGGAAUGUUUAGGUGCUUCCCAGUGAGGACCGAGAGAAGAGGGUCUCGCUCUCUUGGACACCCUUUGUCCCUAUGGACAAGCGCCAAAGUUAUCUUUUAAGAAUAAGCUUUCUGCGCGUCUCUGAAGUGUUUGAGUGUGUUGGUGGGGGUGGGGUAGAAGUAAGCGGGGGAGGAGAAUUGCCGCUUCCCCUAAGCAGUUUCUAAUCCCUAAGGUUCCCAACAAAGUUUACUCAUGGUUUCCACUGGAAAGCUGUGAGAUUAUUACUAUUUUAAGUGAAGAUUUCUAAGAGUCACAGCUUCUCAAAUAUACGUGCCUCUUGAAGGCAUUUCAACAAUUACCUUGUCCACUAACUGCACUCCCUUCCCAUUGGAAGAAUAAAAAAAUCUUAUUUUUUUUUCAGUAGUUGCCUUAGGAUACGUUUGCGAGUCACUAAUACGAGGAAAGAAAGAAAAACAACCUUGGCAUUUCUCGUUGUGCUCUAUUAUUGAAAUGUGAAAGAUGGAUUUUUUGGAGGGGGAGGGGGAGGCAGGGCCUGGAAGAGUGCUUUUGAACCGCGCUGCCCUGUUGCACGGGGCUGACCUUUGGCUGACACGGCCACGGAGCGGGCCGUUCGUUAACGAGGAUUUGAUACAUUAGACAUUCGAGCUGGGCGUGUAAACCCACACUCUGAAUCCAGAUUUCGCUCAAAUUAGUGUACGAGGAAAUGAUCUUUUUAAGUCCUGAGGCUUAAGCAAGUGUCAGGAGGGCCGAUUGCUGCCUGAAAAGGGCAGCGAAGGACACUGGGUAAAAGGAACAUUCCUUGCUCCUUAAAAUACAAAUGAAAUAAAACCCUGGACUCUUUGAAUAAUUCCUGAAAUCCUCCAGGUGGCCACUUUUAAGUAAUAAGGCUAAUCAACUCGUUGCAGUGAAUUCUGUUAUAUUAAAUCCUAACACCAGGCAAAGCUGUGAAGGUAGUGUCAUAGUUAUGGAUAUGUGUGCAUAUGUGUGUAUAUACACACACACAUAUAUGCAUGCACGCGCGCGCACACACACAUAUAUUUCUCUUUUACUCUCUAGAGAUACUAGAAGGUGGCAGUUUAUCUCCGCCAGGGAGUGGAGCACAUACGGAGGUUUGUGCCCCACUAUUUAAAGUCAUAGAUUUUAAAGCCGUUUAAAAGUUGAGAGGUCUCAAUUUAAUUUGGUUCCACUUGUCUCCAGACUUUGGAGCCCAGAAAGGGAAGACAGGCUGACCACAGGGACUCUGGCCUGGUGCAUGGCGGCUGAACCUACUGAUCCCCAGCCUCACGGUUGAAGUUGGAGUUGGGGACUUGGCUGAGGCAGUGGAAUAGGAGGCCAAUUGGAGAGUGCGGCAGCCCCUGCUGUAUUUACUGACUGACUUGGGCUAGGUGUCAUUUUAUUUAAGUUGACAAGAAAGCUUGAACUUAAAAAAAAAAACAAAAAAACAAGCAGCCCCGGAAAAUGUUUUUCUUCUCUUUCUCCUAAUAGCAUAGCCUGUGAAGUGGUCUCAACCGGAGGGGGGUAGAAAUUCACUCCUGCUGGAGUUCCCAGCGACUGUUAGGGUGAAAGAGGGAGGACGAAGCGAAAAUCAUAUUCUUGAUCGGUACCCCAGCUCUGCAAGGGCCAACUUCGGCUAUUGUCCUGGGGGAGGAUCUCUGCAGCAGUGGCAGUUUUCUGCACCCCAGCGUUGACUUCUGCAGCUGGGUUUUGCUGGGGCCUCACAGGAGCUGCUCCUGGGACCUGAAUUUAUUCCAGGAGAAGACGCAGCAAAGCAGUUUUUGGCCUCAGAUCUUUGCUCUAGGAGUCUCUGUCUCCACUCCCCUCCAUCCUCUGAGUGCAGGUGAAAAGAUGGAAAAUUAAGUGAGAAAUGCACCUGCUAUCAUUAAAAAAAAAAAAAGAUUGUUUAAAAAUAAAGAUUCUAGGGGAGAGAAGUGAUUCCCCCAGACACAUGUUGGAGAAAUCCAAGACAGGGCCCGGCCCACAAGAGCUACAGGAGUCGUUCCAGACCGAGUUCUGUAGGUCCAGUCCCAGGAGCUGGCUGACGUCUCGCCAAACUCCUGACCCCGACCCUUAGGAAAAGGGCACCUGAGCGGAUGGAACACUUUUCGGGGACAGAAGCCCUGACCCCCUUCAGAAAAAGCACACCUUUGCUAAAUCUUGAGACAGCCCCAAGCUCGGGAGAGUUGUAAAAACUGGUCUAAGGAAGAAGAGAAAAGUGGAGGAAAAAGGAAAGGUUGGGAGAGGAAGGAGAGAGGAUAGAUUGUGGCCAGUCAACUGAGAGAUGUUCAUUUUUCUCCAGUGGCGGGUCCCAGCAUCCUCCCCCAUAGGUCUGGAUCACCAGACCCCGGAGAGAAACUCCCGGGAUCAGCAACUUUCAAGUUGUGUCAAGUUUGAGGUAGAAACGGCGGGUAUAUUUCAUUUUAAAGUCCACUUUUGAAGACGGUGCAAACAGUAUAACAGUUGACUUUAUAAAAGAGUGGAAGGAAGGAAGCGCCCGCCGCUUGCGAUCUUGUCCGGAGUUUUUUGGCCCUCUUUCCUAGACUGGCCACCCUCGUCCAGCCGCGGUAGUCUAGCCCCGGUUCGGGGCCUCCACACGCGGUCCCAAGUUUGGGUGCCCCCGUGUUCCUGGAAGCUGCGGACGCUGCGGCUUUGACUGCUACAGGACUUUCUGGUGGGUGUGGGGGCAGCCCCCUUGGCUCCUUCUGGGGUUUCCUCUGGCCUUGCCCCAGGCUUCCUCCCGCAGCCCCCGCGGCCCGAGACUAGGCCACCGGGACAGCUCUGGACCUGACGCAGGCAGCGCGGUCGCUGACGUCAGGGGCUCCCGGAGGCCCAAACCUGAACCCCAGCCGGGGCCACCAGGCGCCGGGCGUGGGCAUUGUUAAUUAUCAGGCACCAAAUGAUUCGAAGAAAGCUUCAGGAGGGAGCUGAUUUUGGAUAUAUAAAUAUAUAUAAUUUUUUUUUUUUGAGUGGGGAGCAGGGAAAAAGAAGAGAAAAAAGUGGAGUGAGAAACAGCGAUUCGGUUUGUCAAAGCAUAGUUAUUAACUUCGCCCCCUCCAGCGCCCAGGUCUGCCCCCUGGGUGCACCCGUUUGUAGGUACUGGGCUCCUCACUUUGUACCUGGUUUGAAAAAUCCUUGGUGGAAGCGCCAAUAUUUGUUCCUGUGGGACUCAGAGACAACUCUCCUGUAGAUUCAAGCUUAAGGAGCUUAAUCAUCUCCUACACCCAAAGGGGUGAAGUGGGGAUGGGCAUUGUAUGAUAAAGCUGGAUCUAGGAUGUUCAUAUCACCCUUUCCGUUUGGUUAGAUCCCUAGCCCAAGAUCUGAUAUUAUUAUUGUUGUUGUUGAGUAAAAAGCGGGGCUGGGGUGGGGGGCAUGUACACUGAUAAGGGCCAAGAUAAAUGAACAGUGCAAUUCCAGUUUCAGGAGUGAAACCUUUCAUUUGCAGCAUCAAAGGCAGCUUUCCUCCCCCCCCCCUUUAUUUUAAAAGGAAUUAGAUGUAUAAUAUCUACCUCAAAAUAGACUUUUAAACAGAACAGCAAUAGCUUCUUCAAAAUCGACUAGUUCUUGGCUUUAGCUCUAAUACAUUUUCAAAAAUCCUUUCUCUGAGGAUCACUGCCGAGUAAACAUAGAGCACAGCAGGUCAUUGUGAGCCGAAUUCUCUCUUGGACUCUUCCCU